CUCGAGGCCAGAUCUUUCCGGUUGAUCCUGCCGGACCUGACUGCUAUCGGAUUGAUACUAAGCCAUGCGAGUCUUUGUAGUAAUACAAGGCAGACGGCUCAGUAACACGUAGUCAAUCUACCCUAUGGACAGGGAUAACCUCGGGAAACUGAGAAUAAUACCUGAUAGAUCAUUAUGCCUGGAAUGGUUUAUGGUCGAAAUGAUUUAUCGCCGUAGGAUGGGACUGCGGUCUAUCAGCUUGUUGGUGAGGUAAUGGCCCACCAAGGCUAUAACAGAUACGGGCUCUGAGAGGAGAAGCCCGGAGAUGGGUACUGAGACACGGACCCAGGCCCUAUGGGGCGCAGCAGGCGAGAAAACUUUGCAAUGUGCGAAAGCACGACAAGGUUAAUCCGAGUGUUUUCUGCUAAAGAAAUCUUUUGUCAGUCCUAAAAACACUGAUGAAUAAGGGGUGGGCAAGUUCUGGUGUCAGCCGCCGCGGUAAAACCAGCACCUCAAGUGGUCAGGAGGAUUAUUGGGCCUAAAGCAUCCGUAGCCGGCUCUGUAAGUUUUCGGUUAAA
rnacentral:rRNA from 1 species